rnacentral:lncRNA from 1 species
CACUGAGUUACAUUGCCCAGCCCUUUUUAAAAAUUAUUUUUGUACUGGGAAAAAAUUCCCUGGGGAUUGAACCACAUCCCCAGCUGCUUUUAUUUUUUAUUUUGAGACAGAGUCUCACUAAGUUGCUUAGGGCCUUGCUAUGUUGCUGAGACUUGCCUCAAACUUGGAUUGUCUUGCCUCAGCCUCCAGAGUUUCUGGGAUUCCAGGUGUGCACUGCCACAUCUGGCUUUUAAAACACAGGCGCUUUGAUCACUGGGCUAUAUGUGGUGCUAAGUGUAUCAGAAUUGCCCAAAAGGGUUCUUAAAAAUAGAGAUUCUAGGCCUGACAUCUAUUCAUUUAUUCUUUCAAUUUAAGUAAAUUAUGUUUUUCAGGCAAUUUAUUCACUUUAUCUACAUUUUUCAAAUUUAGGUGAAUUUGUCCAUAAUCUUAACAUCUGAAGACCUCAUAAUGGUGCUGCUUUUAAAAUUUUUGAAUUAACAAUUUAUGCUUUUCUUUCUUGUUCAGUCUUGCUAAAGAUCUGCCAAUUAGACUUUCAGUUCUAUUGAUUUUUCCUUAUUGUACACUUAUUUUCUUAAAAUUAUUUAUUUGCUCUUUCUACUUUGUGUAAAUUCAUCUAUUCUCCUUUUACUCUUAUUUCUUAUAUUAAAACUUUUCUGAUAAAAAUCUAGGUCUUUUUGCCUACUUUAAAAAUUUGUUUCUUUUUUUGGUCAUGCCUAAUAAUUAUUAUUUAAUGUUGAACAUUGUGUUAUAUAAAUUGCUGAAACUUCAAUUGACAAUCCAAUCCCUUCUUUUAGAGAGCUAACACUUUACUCUGAGGAGGGACUGAACUGAUGGAGCCUGGGUUGCAGUCGGAUACAGUUUUAUCUAUCUCUGGNUUUAGGGAAAGGGUAAGAUUAAGAGCUGAG